rnacentral:lncRNA from 1 species
CGUAGAGAGUAAAAUUGCCUUUUUCAUGUUUGCUGCUUCUCUCUUCUUGUUGUCUUUGAGAGCCCUUGUUAAGCCACGAUGUCUUAAUGUUGGGAAAGAAAUUGGCCCAGGAAAUGGAAGGUCUUCACAGCAGAGGCCAGGGCCCCCAUGUGCAAGGACAGACAGGCUGUUGAAGAAGACAACCUAA